rfam:Populus trichocarpa scaffold_6_contig_298, whole genome shotgun sequence.
UCUAGAACUCGAGAUAUGGGCUGAACACUGAACAGUGUCUGGGUUGAGGACAGAUUUUGACUUUUCUGUUGUUGCUACAAUUUGAACUUGAAAACGAUCCUUUUGAAUCUUGAACUCUUCAUGAACGUUUUAGGCCUAUGUUUUAGCUUUCUAGC